CUACGUGCCAGCAGCCGCGGUAAUACGGAGGGUGCGAGCGUUAAUCGGAAUAACUGGGCGUAAAGGGCACGCAGGCGGUGACUUAAGUGAGGUGUGAAAGCCCCGGGCUUAACCUGGGAAUUGCAUUUCAUACUGGGUCGCUAGAGUACUUUAGGGAGGGGUAGAAUUCCACGUGUAGCGGUGAAAUGCGUAGAGAUGUGGAGGAAUACCGAAGGCGAAGGCAGCCCCUUGGGAAUGUACUGACGCUCAUGUGCGAAAGCGUGGGGAGCAAACAGGAUUAGAUACCCUGGUAGUCCACGCUGUAAACGAUGUCGAUUUGGGGGUUGAACUUUAGGUUUGGCGCCCGUAGCUAACGUGAUAAAUCGACCGCCUGGGGAGUACGGCCGCAAGGUUAAAACUCAAAUGAAUUGACGGGGGCCCGCACAAGCGGUGGAGCAUGUGGUUUAAUUCGAWGCAACGCGAAGAACCUUACC
rnacentral:rRNA from 1 species